AGAGAACAAGCCUGUUUUUUCCAGUUCAAGACACUUUCCAAAACUGUCCUUCACGUAGCAACAGCUCCACCUGCUGGACAUGAAUGGUAUCAUUACGGACUACAAGACCAGGCAGGUUGGCAAACCCAGGACCCCAAAGAGGUGAAAGUCUAUGGGCCCUCAGCUCAGACCCAUAUGAAGACCUCAUCCAGAUGUACCCUUCACCCCAACUCUUCCUCCAGCGACUACUUACCACCUCAAGUGCACCAAGAACUGAGUACUGACAUUCCCCAGAAAUAGAGAGGCCUUGGCUCCCACUGAAUGCCAGGUGCUGCAAACAUGACUCAAGCUAUUUUGUAGCAAACAUGCAAGUGGAUAUGAGUCGAAUUCAUCUCCUCACCAAUGUGACUGCCAACAGAUAGCCCCAGAAACAAAUGAGACUGCAAGAUUACCAAGUGGAAAAGAAGAGGGUCUAUUUAGAACCAGUGAAGUCAAGCAUGGAUCGUCACUACAGCAGACAGCUGGCUCAGUGCAACAGACUCAUGUUCCACCCUCCUGAUGUUCACAGCCACAGUAGUGACUUCUUGGUGAAAGCUUAGGGACCAGACAACCAGGAUUCCUACCUGCCUCUUCCACAUUAAUACCUGGGGACAGGUUACUUCAUCGAUGUUACGAUCCCGCAUCUGAGAGAUGCAGAUUCCAAUAGCACUGGCCCUCAUGAGAGAAGUGAAUGCUAUGUGAAGUCCCAGGAACUAACUUACAGCUGUGCCAGAUGCACAGCAGUGCUUAAUAAAUGUGCAUAAUAAUCAUGCUGAAAGU
rnacentral:lncRNA from 1 species